GAUGAACGCUGGCGGCGUGCCUAAUACAUGCAAGUCGAGCGAACAGAUGAGGAGCUUGCUCCUCUGACGUUAGCGGCGGACGGGUGAGUAACACGUGGAUAACCUACCUAUAAGACUGGGAUAACUUCGGGAAACCGGAGCUAAUACCGGAUAAUAUAUUGAACCGCAUGGUUCAAUAGUGAAAGACGGUUUUGCUGUCACUUAUAGAUGGAUCCGCGCCGCAUUAGCUAGUUGGUAAGGUAACGGCUUACCAAGGCAACGAUGCGUAGCCGACCUGAGAGGGUGAUCGGCCACACUGGAACUGAGACACGGUCCAGACUCCUACGGGAGGCAGCAGUAGGGAAUCUUCCGCAAUGGGCGAAAGCCUGACGGAGCAACGCCGCGUGAGUGAUGAAGGUCUUCGGAUCGAAAAACUCUGUUAUUAGGGAAGAACAAAUGUGUAAGUAACUAUGCACGUCUUGACGGUACCUAAUCAGAAAGCCACGGCUAACUACGUG
rnacentral:rRNA from 1 species